rnacentral:rRNA from 1 species
CCUACGGGUGGCAGCAGUAGGGAAUCUUCCACAAUGGACGAAAGUCUGAUGGAGCAACGCCGCGUGAGUGAAGAAGGGUUUCGGCUUGUAAAGCUCCGUUGGUAGUGAAGAAAGAUAGAGGUAGUAACUGUCCUUUAUUUGACGGUAAUUACUUAGAUAGUCUCGGUUAAAUACGUGCCAGCAGCCGCGGUAAUACGUAGGUGGCAAGUGUUGUCCGGUUUUAUUGGGCGUAAAGCGAGUGCAGGUGGUUCAAUAAGUCUGAUGGGAAAGCCUUCGGCUCAACCGGAGAAGUGCAUCAGAAACUGUUGAACUUGAGAGCAGAAGAGGUGAGUGGAACGCGAGGUGUAGCGGUGGAAUGCGUAGAGAUAGGGAAGAACCCCAGUGGCGAAGGCGGCUCUCUGGUCUGCAACUGACGCUGAGGCUCGAAAGCAUGGGUAGCGAACAGGAUUAGAUACCCUAGUAGUC